rnacentral:rRNA from 1 species
CCAAGCUACGAAGAGCCAACGGUGGAUGCCUUGGCACUGACUACCGAUGAAGGUCGUGAGAGGCUGCGAUAAGCCACGGGGAGCUGCCGACUAAGCGUCGAUCCGUGGAUGACCGAAUGGGGAAACCCAGCACCCGUCAUGGGGUGUUACUCCCGUCUGAACACAUAGGGCGGGGAGAGGGAACCGGGUGAACUGAAACAUCUAAGUAACCCGAGGAAGAGAAAGCAACAGCGACUCCCUGAGUAGCGGCGAGCGAAACGGGAUCAGCCUAAACCUGUGUGGUGGAAAGCCUGACGGCGUUGCCACAUGGGGGUUGUGGGAACCGAUGGGACCGGCGUCAGACGGUCCACGGAGUUACAAAGCGAGUGGGUAGUGGAACGGUUCUGGAAAGGCCGGCCGCAGCGGGUAACAGCCCCGUACACGAAACUCAUCUCGCCUCCGAUCGGAUCUCCCGAGUAGCGCCGGAUCCGGGAAAGCCGGCGUGAAUCUGCGAGGACCACCUCGUAAGGCUAAGUAUACGUCAGUGACCGAUAGCGAACUAGUACCGUGAGGGAAAGGUGAAAAGUACCCCGGGAGGGGAGUGAAAUAGUACCUGAAACCGUUGGUUUACAAUCAGUCAGAGUGUCGUCACUUCGGUGGCCACGAUGGCGUGCCUUUUGAAGAAUGAGCCUACGAGUUACGGUGUGUGGCAAGGUUAACCCGUGAGGGGGAGCCGGAGCGAAAGCGAGUCUGAACAGGGCGUUCAGUCGCAUGCCGUAGACCCGAAGCCGAGUGAUCUAGCCAUGGGCAGGGUGAAGCGGAGGUAAGACUCCGUGGAGGCGCGAACCCACUUCGGUUGAAAACGGAGGGGAUGACCUGUGGUUAGGGGUGAAAGGCCAAUCAAACUCGGUGAUAGCUGGUUCUCCGCGAAAUGCAUUUAGGUGCAGCGUCGCGUGUUCAGCCAUGGAGGUAGAGCACUGGAUGGGCUAGGGGCCCUACAAGGUUACCGACCCCAACCAAACUCCGAAUGCCAUGGCUCCAGAGCGCGGCAGUGAGUCCUCGGGGGAUGAGCUUCGAUGGACGAAAGGGAAACAGCCCAGAUCACCAGCUAAGGCCCCUAAUUCUGUACUAAGUGGUAAACGAUGUGGGAUUGCACAGACAGCCAGGAGGUUGGCUUAGAAGCAGCCACCCUUGAAAGAGUGCGUAACAGCUCACUGGUCGAGUGAUCCUGCGCGGACAAUGUAACGGGGCUCAAGUACAGAGCCGAAGCUGUGAAUUCCUGCCUGGCAGGAGUGGUAGCGGAGCGUCGAUCUCGCAGUGAAGCGUCGGUGGAAACCGGCGUGGAGCGUGGUCGAGUGCGAAUGUAGGCAUGAGUAGCGAGAGAGGGGUGAGAAACCCCUCCGCCGGAAGUCCAAGGGUUCCUGGGGAAGGCUAAUCCUCCCAGGGUGAGUCGGGAGCUAAGACGAGGCCGACAGGCGUAGUCGAUGCACAACCGGUUGAUAUUCCGGUACCACCACAUUAUGCGCCCAUGUCGAAACGACCUUGCUAAGGGGAUGCCGCUGGCCAUUCGGCCGGCGGACGAACCGACCCAGGUCGUGGAGGCAAGCAAUGCGGGGACGCAGGAAGGUAGGUGAGCCCAGGCGAUGGUAGUCCUGGGGUAAGCGUGUAGGGAGAGGUCCAGGUAAGUCCGGCCCUCAUGAUCCUGAGACGCGACGCCGAGCCGAAUCAGGCGAAGUCACUGAUCCUAUGCUGCCGAGAAAAGCCGCUAGCUAGCAC